UCAGUACAUGAAAAAAUAAGCUGUAGAAUUUACUCAAAUAAAAUGAGAUAACACCACAAAGACCUAGACCGAACACUGGAACAUCGUCUGUGUUCCGUAAUUGCGGGAGAUCACCGUCACACAAUCGGAAAGACUGUCCUGCCAAAGAAGCUGAAUGCAGGAAAUGUUGCAGAUGAAGACACUUUGCUGCUGUCUGCAGGUCUAAGCAGCCUGUGCAUGAGAUGGCAGAGGAAGAGGAAGUCUUUCAGGGCGGCCUUUUCCUGGAAGAGGGGAAGUCAGACAGCACUGGCUGGUACUCAGAUAUCAGAAUGAAUGGGGAAGUGCUGCCUUUUAAGAUGGAUACAGGGGCAGCACUGACAGCUAUUCCUACCACACUGUACAGUUACAGCAGAGACGGCCCCCACUGCACACCCCAAAAAGACUAUGGCCCCAGUAACAACAGGUUGCCUGUUGUAGGAAAGAUUCGGAGCAGACUUGAAAGGAAGGAUAAAAAUUCCACUCAGCCAGUAUUUGUCAUUGAUAACCUGGCCAGACCACUGCUGGGCUUACCAGUGCUCACUGCAUUACACCUUGUUCAGCGAAUGGAGGAACUUAGCACACUGGGUGAGAAAGAAGACCCAGGGGAGAUCUUCAAAAAUAAAUUUCCAGAGGUGUUUACUGGAUUAGGGAGGCUUGAUGGUAAUUAUCACAUCCGCCUGAAAGAGAAUGCUGUCCCCUAUGCUCUGACUACUCCUCACAGCGAGCCAAUCCCCUUAACUGAAAACGUAAAAGAAGAUCUGAAAUGAAUGGAAGAAAUGGGGGUCAUCUCAAAGAUAGAGAAACCCAGUGAGUGGUGUGCAGGGAUAGUAGUGGUCCCAAAACCCAGUGCUAAAAUUAGAAUUUGCGUUGACCUCACGCAAACUCAAUGAGGGUGUGUGCAGAGAAAGGCAUGUAUUGUAUUGCCCUCAGUGGACCAGUCAUCAGCACGGCUGAAUGGCUGACAGGUUUUUACAAAGCUGGAUGCAGGUAGUGGGUUUUGGCAGAUACCCUUAGCACAAGAGAGUGGGGAGCUCACAACGUUUAUCACUCCCUUUGGCCGUCUAUGUUUCAAUGUCUUACCUUUUGGGAUCAGCUCAGGGCCGGAGCAUUUUCAAAGACGCAUGUUCCAGCUCUUAGCCGGGCUAGAAGGUGUUAUAUGCCACGCAGAUGAUGUCCUCGUGUGCGGAGAGAAUGGGGCAGAACAUGAUGAGCGGCUCAUAGCUGUUUUGACACGACUUCAGGAGGCGGGACUAACACUAAAUGAAAAGUGCACCUUUGCAAGGCUGAGGUUUUGUUUGUGGGACAUAAAGUCAGUGCAGCGGCCACUGAGCCUGACCCUGAGGAAAUCAGAGCCAUCACAGACAUACCUAUCCCACAGAACACUGCAGAUGUCAGACGUUUAGCGGGGAUGGUCACAUAUGUACCAAAAUGUAUCCCUCAGUUUGCAGAUUCUACCAAAGCACUCAGAGGUCUGCUGGUGAAGGACAAUGACUGGGGUCAUAUGCAGCAGGCGGCUAUGGACAGACUCAGGAAUGAGCUGGCAUCACCAAGAGCGUCGGUUCAAUACAGGCCGCAAGCCAAAGCAGAGGUGUCUGCGGAUGCAUCAUCCUUUGGCCUCGGGGCUGUCCUUACGCAGAGACAGGAUAACAUGGAGGGGCGUCCAGUCGCCUGCGUUUCCCGGAGUCCAUCUGAUAUGGAGCAGCGUUAUGCCCAAGUUGAAAAGGAGGCUCUGAAAGCCUCUUGAAGAACACAGACCCAUACGGGGCCUUACUGGCUUGCCGGGUCACACCGCUGCACCAUGGGUCUUCAACCGCCAAACCGAGUCUGGAUUACCAAAACCAGAGCUAAAAGCUAGUCAGCGAGUCUGGAUUACCAAAACCAGAGCUAAAAGCUGGUCAGCAAGUCUGGAUUACCAAAACCAAAGCUAAAAGCUGGUCAGCGAGUCUGGGUUACCAAAACCAGAGGUAAAAGCAGGUCAGCGAGUCUGGAUUACCAAAACCAGAGCUAAAAGCAGGUCAGCGAGUCUGGAUUACCAAAACGCAGGAGCCUGCUACAGUGCUGAGAGGAGCAGACACUCCUCGCUCCUGUGUGGUGCAGACAGAGUCAGAAGAAGCAAGGAGAAACAAAGCACACCUCGGGCCCCUACCAUAAAUUGCACAGAAGUCAUAUGCUCUCCAUUUGCUGGACAGAUGCUGUUCCUCCUUAAAGGGGAGAACAGGUGCUGUUGUAUAAUUCAUUUAUUCAGGUCAUUUGAGUGUCUUGGACUGUCUCACCUCAGAUGGAUCACUGACUCCCUCCUGGACCCAGUGCAGUUUGUCUACAGAGCCAAUAGAUCUGCAGACGGUGCCUCAGCAUGAGCCUCCCUGCCUGCAUCCUUGUACAUCAUCUGUUAUCUGCUGGACAUCAUAUAUUUUCAUACCUUUAUAUUCCAGUAUGCAAUAUACCUCUGUUCCCCUUAAAUGUCCUUACAAUUAUAUUGCACAGCUUGCACUAUUUUAUUCCUUUAUUAUUUUAUCUCUACUUAUGUUUCUUAAUUUAUAUUCUUGUUCUACUAUGUUAUUUGUGAACGUAAGCACCAAUACUGCCAAAACAAAUUCCUAGUACGUGCAGUUAUUCCAGGCCAAUAAAGCGAAUUCUGAUUCUGACUGGUCACACAAUACAGACGCCCUGUACAGGAAGGGCCGUCUCCGCCUGCUGAGAAGACUGAGGUCCUUCGCAGUGUGCAGGACACUGUUAAGGACAUUUUAUGACAGUAGCAGCAUCUGCAGUAUUCUUUGCAGUGGCCUGCUGGGGAUGCGGGAGCUCAGAGAGGGGCAGGAAGACUAAAGAAGCUGCUCAGGAGUGCUGGCUCUGUCCUGGGCUGCUCCUUGGACUCCACUGAGGAGGCGGCUGAGAGGAGGCUGUCGGCCAAACUUACAUCCAUCGUGGACGAUCCCUCUCACCCCCUGCAUGUGACAGAGGGAGCGUCACGCAGCUCCUUCAGCACCAGACGGCGGCAUCCAGCAUGUAAGUAGGAACGCUUCCACAAACCUUUCAUUCUGUCUGCCAUUAGACUUUAUAACACAGCAGUGAACAGUGUGAGAAGGUCAUAGUUUUGUCCACAAUUUUUGCAUAAAUGUCACUUGUAUAUUUUUAUUCACCCGGUGCAUCUGUAUGUGUGUCAUUCAUCUGUGCAAUUACCCACGUGCAAUUCCCCUACUGACUGUCCACUAUGUUCUUACACUGCGCAAUAUCCACUGUAUCUACGCAGCUUAUAUAUUUAUAUCCACUCGGUGCAUUAUCUGUAUAUGUAUCAUCUAUGCAACUACCCAUGUCAUGUGUACAAUAUGAGUAACUGUGUGUGCGAGUUUUUCAUUGCUUGUCUUUCUUAUUUAUUACUAUUUUGUUAUAGUAGCUUUCGGUUUCUUUUUUUCUAUUGCUGUUGUAUUUCUUAGGCUUUAGUAUCAAUAAAAUUUCCCCGGUCUGGGAUCAAUAAAGUCAA